ACAAUUUGUCUGAUGGCGGGGUCGGAGGAGUAGCAGGUAAUGUCAUUGCAUGUACACAGUUUAAGACAGAGCAUCUGGUGAUUCUCGGACCUUCAAGCAAGUGUCACAUCUCAGGGUGUGAGGUUUGGAGGGCCUCUCGUCAAAACUUUGGAGGGCUCUGUCAGUUUGAAAAGAACAUGACCUUUAAAUUGUAUCAGUAUGUUUGCUGGUGCAUAAGGGAGAGGAAAAGGUUCGUCCUGAUGGAAAACCACUCAGAAGCCAAGGAGUAAUUCAGAGGGAACCAGCCCAGGAAGAAUCAAGAAAGCUGCCCACAGUGUCAUUCUUCAGCUGAGAAAAGAGAGAGUUGACUAACUCCUCGGACUGGAGUGAGGACUCACAGAGGUGGUAGGACACUAACCAUCUAUGUCUCCAUUUCCUGGGUUGUAACACUGAGGUAGAACAUCUCACUGUCCCAUGGAGGAUUAUGUUAUUUUUGGAGAUUAAUAAUUUUGGAGGAAGAAAGGUGGCUUCCUGAAAAGGAAGUCACAUGAAGAAGCAACUUACACGGUGGUCUCUUUAAAUAAACAUAUUGUGACU
rnacentral:lncRNA from 1 species